CUCAAUCAGGACGAACUAAUGAAAACCGAUACACUUUUAUUAUAAAUCACAAUUCCAAGGGACAAACCUAAUUGGGCCAAUAAGUGUUUGCUUCACAUCGGGCUGUAACAGUUGUUUAAAUCUUGAUCCAAUUUUUUCUCUUUGCAGUGUUAAGAUGAGAGAAAUUCAAAAGUGAUUUCUCACUUGCACAGUUGCACUAGUUAGCUCAGUUUUUUCCCGCCAACAUAGUUAGGGUUUGCAAUUUCACUGAAUACAUUGACCCAAUUUUUCCCUAAUUCGCAUUUUUCUUAGGCAAAAUUCAACUGUGAAUUUUAAAUCUAAGCAGUUUGCAGCUAAUUUCUUUGUCCAAUUUUCAGAAAUGGCGGGCCAAUCUGAUCCCCAAUCUUCAGUAUUCUCAGCAGCCGAGAUGGAAUUCUUGGCUGAAGAUGAAAUGAUUGAAAUUGUGCCCAAUAUGAGAAUGGAUGCUCUCAAUUUGAUUUCGGGUGAUUAUGGCCCUUUCCGGCCCCAAAUAGCAACGAAAGUUCCGUUAUGGCUUGCUGUGGCACUGAAGAAAAGAGGGAAAUGUACUGUUCGACCGCCCGAGUGGAUGACGAUUGAUAGGUUAACACAAAUUUUAGAAGCUGAGCGAGAUUCCCCUAAGGAGUUUCAGCCACUACCUUUUCAUUAUGUGGAAAUUUCGCGACUUCUCUUUGACCAUGCCAGGGAUGAUAUUCCAGACAUAUACAUGGUAAGGUCCCUUAUUGAAGACAUCAGGGAUGUGAGAUUCCAUAAAGUGGAGUCUGGAUUGGAAACCAUAUCUGCUCGGACGCAUGCAGUGAAGCUGAAAAAUCUUUCUGCAAUGGAGGUGAAUAUUGUGCGUCCAUUUGUUAUAAGAACACUCCAGGCAUUCUAUAAGCAUGACAGUCCAGAGAUGAUUCAACAACCGGUUCAAAUGUCUAGUAGACGACCACAAGUCACCGAUCGUGGGCCAAGAAGGGACUUGCGUCGUCGAUAGGAAGAUUAAGCCUCUUGCAAAUAUUUGUUUCUCCUUGUUGCUGGUUGUCACCUUUGUGGUUCCUUCUCAAUGAGCACAUGGCUAUCUACAAAUAUUAUUUAGGCUAACUGAUGUUUGUAACCUGCACAUAAAUUAUAUGGUUAACUGUCGUGGAACAUCUGGAGAUCGCAGUAGAAAAUUUGUGGAAUACGCGACUAGUGGUUGUGGUGGUGGUGAACUGUGGUGCAUUCGACAAUGCUUUUUUAAAUAAAAAUGAUUGUGAGGACUGGCGAAAUGGCAAUACAACCAAAUAAUGCCCAAGUUUUUGGCAUUUGUUAUUUGGUAGAAGCUUGUUUACUUGUUAUCAUAUUCAUGUUUUUCUUGUUGUAUGCAAGUUUUCCCACUUAAGUUGCACGACAUGUUAGGAAAAUGGAGGAAUGAUUGAUUAGUUUGGUCUUUUGCCUAUAAAUGUCUUUCUUUAUCAAUAGGGUACAAUGAAAGUUGGAGAGUAUAUUUUGGUACCAAUUCUUUUGUGAAUGAAAGUUCACCACGCAUGUUUUGUAUGAAGAAUUAUUAUAGGAGUUAUUGGUUUAUCACUGACAUGCCUUGAGAUAGUAUGUGUCUUUUGCAGAAUUAAUAUGCCCACAUCCCCGAUAAUUUGUGCCAAUUAUUUUGUCAAUAAUGCACACAAUUUUGGAAAGUGUCUAAAAAUUUGCCACACCGCUUUUUGGGAAUUCUUGUCAUUAGUGCAUAUGCUUACCAUUUAUUCCUAUAAUUUCUUUUGAAACUUCGUUGUAGUGCUGAAAUAUAGAACUCUCUUCGUAACGAAUUACUAGCAAUAUUUGGUAUUAUUUGUGAGAAGUAAAAUAUUCAGUUGUUACUAGUAAUUCGUUACGAAGGAAGUACUUUAUAUAUUAACUUCUACAUUCUACAUAUAUAAACAGAGUAAUAAUAAAGAAAAUUUCAAUUACUGAGGCUCAUAAGCCUUAUCUUCAUUUUUUAGAUGUUUUUGUGCUUGUUUGCUCGUAUAGAUAAAACAUGGGAAAUAUGAGUUUUUGAGAAGUGGGUAAAUGUGAAACUUUUUGGUGGCAAAUUAGAGGUAAUUGCUAAAAGGUUAAAAAUUCUAAGGAAGUGGAUAAAUAUGGGAAGUAGAAGGUCAAGUUAUACUUUUCACGAAUGGAGAAUAAGUUAUUUAGGUCUCUUGAGGCAUGUAAAAUUUCCUAAAAUCGACCAAACAAUAAUUUUAUACAGAAAAACAGCAUUGCAAAUAUAAUAGUUUCUCUAUUCAGCCAAACAAUUGAUUAUCAUUAGAUGACAAGAGUUUUUCUUCAAAUACUUCUGUAUCUGUAUGGAAAGGAUUUCAACUCUAUACUAUACCUAUAGAUUCUACUCAACUCUAUCCGGAGAUAGUUUUUACUCCCUCCAUAACGAAUUACUAGCAACGUUUGGUAUUAUCUGUGAGAGGUAGAAUAUUUACUUAUUGCUAGUAAUUCGUUAUCGGAGGGAGUACAUUGUUUAAAAUCAACCAUUUAAUUUUGACAAUCUAUUAUAGAUUGUAUGGAAAAUGAGUUGGCUUUAAAUGUUGAACGAGUUGUUUUGAAGUGAACUUUUUCUUUUGAAUCUUACCAUGAUUCAAUUACUUAUGUUGUUUUAAGAUAUAAAGUUUAAAGUUCUCCUAGAAGUAAUAGCUUUUAACAUUUAAUUUUGUAUAAAAUGGAAGUGUAUUUUAGUAAUGUUUAUUAUCAUUUUUCAUCAAUGCAUUUUGUAAAAAACCUAAUGGUUUAGAUCAAUCAUGAUUAAUAAGGUAAGUUGAAGUCUGUUGCAAGUAAAGGGAGAAGGGGAUUACGGGAAUUCCUCUUACAAGGGUGGAACUUGGUUUUAGAGUCGGAGAUGAUGCUAAUUCCAAUAGGCUAUCACUCACUGCUCAAUUAAUCAUGAAAUAUAUAUCUUUUUAACGGUUUUAUUGUAGGGAAGUCUUGUAAAUUAUUAUCUAUAUCACUAAUAUAAGUCGUACCCGUUUUCAGAAAAUUUAACUUUAUAGGUAACUUUCCAUGAAGAAGGGAACUACCUUUUUUUGAAUUCUUUUGAUUUAUGCUUUUUUUUUUGUUUUGGUUUUUGGCUUAGUAAAAUGAUUUAAUCAAGUUGCAUUUUGUGGUUGCACUUGCAGCCUACUCCUUUAUUGCCAGUAGAGUAAGUAACGCUGACAUUUUCCUAACUACAAGUGACAACUACCUGUCACAGGAUUAAGAUGAACUCCAUAAAAGCCUCCAAUCACUUAGCAAAUAAAUAAAUGCUCCGGUUAUAGUAUUAAUAAAGAUAUCCUAUAGUACAUACAUUAAGAUGGUCCAAGGAAUAAAAUAUUUUUUCUUGCAUUUAAUGGUUGCCAAGUGUAUGAUUAUUGGAGUAAUACAAGUAGGCUGCAAAGAAUCCAUGUUGCUUUGAAGGAACAAGGAAAAAGAUGAGGGACCAUGAUGAUUGUAUCUCUUAUUUAUUGUAAAAUAAGACUUUGUUUCUUUGGACUAAUUUUCAGUUUAAUUCUUUUAGUUAUGCUCAAUUUAAUCUAGUUCAAUGUCUUUCAGUUUAAAAGAACGGUGUUUAAGUAUUUAUUAGAAGGAGACUGAUAAAUGUUAUAUUUUAAAGAUCAAUAUAAUAAUAAACAACUUAAUAGACUUUUAA